rnacentral:rRNA from 1 species
UACGGAGGGAGCUAGCGUUGUUCGGAAUUACUGGGCGUAAAGCGCGCGUAGGCGGCUUUGUAAGUUAGAGGUGAAAGCCCGGGGCUCAACCCCGGAAUUGCCUUUAAGACUGCAUCGCUUGAAUCCGGGAGAGGUGAGUGGAAUUCCGAGUGUAGAGGUGAAAUUCGCAGAUAUUGGGUAGAACACCGGUGGCGAAGGCGGCCAACUGGUCCGACAUUGACGCUGAGGCACGAAAGCGUGGGGAGCAAACAGG